rnacentral:lncRNA from 1 species
UAAUUAUAUUUUAUAUUUGUGUGUGUUAAUUAUGUCUUAUUCAUUGAUUUGUGGUGAAUACUGCCAAUUAAUCUCAUUUGUCUUCUAAACUAGUUUUGUCUUAUUCUAUCUAUUGAACGUGCUAAAAUUCAGCUAUUUUACCGUAUUUUUAUAUCCGCUGCAGAUAUUUGGUAGUUUCAGAUGUUUGGCAGAUAUUGUGAAAAUGUGAAGAUUAAAGAGUCUUAUACCGAUGAAAUGAGAAAUCUUGCAAUGACUUAUAAGAGGUUGGGUUACUUUCUAUAUUACCAAUUGAUUUUAUGAUGGGACCUUAACUUUCUUCAUGGUAUAAGAGCAAGUUGGCCCACAUGUUAAGCCUAACGAUCAAAUGUGCUUCACGUCACCUAAAUGGUGUCGUCCACGUGCUUGACUUGAAAAUUUAUCACACAUGAGAGGGUGUGUGAGCAGUGGCAUAGCCAGGAAUUUAAAGCGAUGAGAUUAAUAAAUAGCUUUAAAAAAUCGAUUAUACUUUCAUUUAUAAUUGUACACGACAUGUUCUCAUAUUUUUGAAACGUUGUCUCACAACACCAUUAUCAGUAGAAUCAAAUACAUCAUUCUCAUUGUACACAACCAAACUAUCAUUCAACUAUUGAUCUACCCAUCAUAUUAUGAUGUGGAUUCUCCACAAUUUUCAUCACCAAAAAGCUCUUUUGACUAACGCAGUUGCAACAGGUAAAAUCAAUGCUAAUUUCACUAACAAGUACACCAAGGGAUAUUGUCUAUCCCUCUUUGUCUCUACCAACUUUUGUACAAGGUUACUAAUUCCUUUCAACGCAGUAGCUUUGUUAAAUUAAAAAUUAUUAGUGUUAAUUAAUUUUUUUUUCUUAAGGAUAAGUUUGGAAGUAAAAGGUUUUUGGGAUAAGUUAACAAAGCAGGGUGCUGCUAUAGUGCUGCUAUACAGGUUCAUAAAAUUUUCAAAGGGAUAACUUGACAAGGUUAUUGGGGUCAAGGGAUGCUAAUUAGACCUGACAUUCAUGUAGUGUUUCCCGUAUUCGUGUUGUUUACGUGUCUUACCCGAUAUCUUAACGGGUUGUGUCGUGUAACACCUGUUAAAAUAAACAGGUAAAA